CGAGGAACCACCUCGAGCCGUGCACCUUGAGCCCCUCCCUGCUCUGGGCUGUGUCUGCAGACGCUCCCGCACCCCGGCCGGGUCAGUGCAAGACCGUAGCCGACACAGUCUCUGUUCAGACAAGCCCGGCUCACCCGCCGUGACGAUGGGCAGGGGACUGCACUGAUGUCCCCCCGGGAAGACCCGCAGACAGCCAACGACCCCACGAGACGUCGGCAGGGAAGGGCAGUCCAAGCCCGCGGCGAGAAGCCCUCUCACACCCGCCGGGCCGGCUGUUAAAACCAGAAAAUAACAAGUGUUGGCGAAGAUGUGGCGAAAUCGGAACCUCGGGCGCGAGCCUCGGCCACAGCGGCUGUGGAAAGUGGUCUGCAGGUCCUCCCCCAGCGACACCCACAAACCCAGCACCCCACGCCAGGCAGGAGCGCGAAGAAACCCAACAAGGACUCGCACACUCACGGCGCCCCUGCGCAUGGGGGCUGCAGACGGACAAGCCCGCCCACAGACAGGAACCGGACCCCUGACGCGGGCUGCAGCGUGGAAGCAGCAAGAAGACGCGAGAAGCCGGCCCAAGGCGCCCGGCGCGGCGAUGCCUUCCCACGAGGCGUCCGGAACACACCGCGCAGGGAGGGCUUCUCAGGUGCGGGAGGGGAUGCAGACUGGCCCCUUCACGGAGGCCGGCCUCCUCGGGGGUGGGGAGGGGUUAGAAAGUUCCGGAAUGAGAGAGGUGGUCACAGGCCAACGCCGCAUGAGCUGAACGCCACUGAGUUGUUCACUUUAAAGGGGCUGGUUUUGGGUCAGGUGACUUUCCCGUCAACAAAAACACAACAAAGAUACGUGGGUCCCAGGGUCAGCCGCACCCCAUCUCCCCAGUGACCCCACACCCUGGGCAGGGCGAGGGCUGAGUUCCUGCUCCCCUGGGUCCCCGAAUGAGGUGGAGAGCAUAGCCACUGGCGUGACCCCAACUUCUCCUCUCCCAGCACCCCUCCCGUGAAAGAAUAAACGUGUGUUGUUUUAA